rnacentral:lncRNA from 1 species
AGCGAGGGGCACCUUGAGCCAGGGAGUUAGGGGCUCAGGAGCUGUGAUGUGACUGCCCCCACCCCCAGGAAACUGACUCCCUUCCAGAGGAAAGUCACUGUCUCUCUCCAAGAGCCUCCCAUGGCUCAGGGGCUCUUGAGAGAUGCCUUCGUGGGUGAGUUUGAUUUUUGGAAACUGCCAGAGUGUUCUGGAGCUGGGUCUAGUGAAUGAAGUGGGUGACUAAGCUGAUUUAGGUCAUCUGUUAUUACGAACAAAAAAUGACCCCAGCAUAAUUACUAAAAAAACCAACCAACCAACAAACAAACAAAAAAACCAGCAGAUGUUCUUGUCUGACUUGUUAACUGGCUUCUAAGGGAUGAGUCAAAGAAGAACCUGCUAAAACACAAUGGAGGCUUUGGCAACUUGGGAGAACAAGGAUGCUUUUCCCAAGGGGACUACAUUGAAAAACCCACACUCGGAGCCACCAAGUUCUGAUGCAUUUGCUUGAAAACAAACAGCUCUCCCCAUGGCAGCACUGAACGGGAGUUCAGAGGAAGCACACACGGUGAGUGGAAGAAAUCAGACGGCAGAAAGGGAACGCUGGCUGCUCAGAGAAGGGAAUGAUCCAGAAGUGAUGUCAGGAUCUUGUAGAGCCUGGGGUGUUGUUUAGACUCCCAGGGACUGUAUCUCCCUUGGGUAGCAGGAGAGUGAUCAACCCACAGACACAGUGGGCUGGUGGCCCCUCCCAGAUGUCAGAGUCCCUGUCUCCAGGUUUUCAAUCCCACAAGUCUUUAAAAGAGAAAUGCGUGGUGUGGGGAUAAGAUGACAGGCCUUGGAGACCCAUGGAGUCCUGGCUUUACUGUUUGUUGUAUGAAUUUGGGAGCAUCUUACUUUCUGAAGCUCAGUUUCCCCAUCUGUAGAGUGGGGGUGACACCUGCUUCUCUCCUAUUAUCUACUUCCCUCUCAGGAGAUAGAGAGUUCUGGCCUCCUGCAAAAAAUCAUAGCUCCUUAUUUCCUUUUGGCCUGCCCCAGGCGGGUGAAAUGUCUGAGCCACAAAGAUCCCAAUGGCAUUAUGAGUAGCCUGGCUACCUGGCCAGGGAGGUGACAAAAAACAUGAACAAAGAGGUCCAAGGCCAACUUCGCCCACAUCAUUGUCUCACUGAGGUGAGACUGUGUCCACCUCUUGCCGCCCCUUAUUUGCCCCACCUUCAGGGUUUCCUGCCACUGAAAGGCCUGCUCUGCAGAACUCCUGGGGCUGGGUUCCUCCCUGACUCACCACCCCCCACCUCUCCAGGUGCCCCAGAGCAAGUGCAGGCCCCUCUCUGGGACUCAUUUCCUCAGAAUCACGAGGCGUAGGGAAACUGGAUGAUGCCAGGAGAGUGAGAUUCUGGCCCCCUCCUUCCUGGCUGUCUCUGACAGGGUCACUUCCCAGCUGCCCUGAAAGUCCCUGGAGGACAGGGCAUGCACUGUGAGCUUUCCAGGGAGCAGCCUGCCCCACCCCUGUGCUGGCCCCAGCCCCCAUCCACUGCUUCCACUGCCGGAUGGGUGCCAUUCACUUGGCUCCAGGAAAGCCCUCAGUAGGAAGCUUGUGAAAAUACUAGAACAGAAGUCAGUCCCUCCCUCCCGCUACUUAGCUUUUCUUUCCUUCGUCUGUCUGUCCCACCCCCUCUCUGUGACUCUCCCCUCCCCUUCAUCUCUCUGGCCCUCCCUUCUCUCUUCUCUUGCCCCAGACACAGAACCCAGAAGAGCCAGCAGGAACAGACAGACAGUGAGAGCUACAGCCUGGGAGACGUGUAAGAACAUGUCAACCUUGAUGUUACUCCACAAAUCGUAGGCUGUGACUCACGUAGCGUUCUUGCCUGUUCUGGAGGGCUGCCUUUGGUUGUCUUGCUGGAGCACGAAUACCCUUUCCCUAUGGUAUCUAAGCCUUGCAUCUGGGGUGUGAGAAUGCAGAGCUCCACCUGUCUUGUGGCCACCCAAGAUCCCACUUCGGUCUGUAAAUUCCCUCAAUAAAUCACCCAAUAUUGACAAA